rnacentral:rRNA from 1 species
UGAGGAAUAUUGGUCAAUGGCCGGAAGGCUGAACCAGCCAAGUCGCGUGAGGGAAUAAGGCCCUAUGGGUCGUAAACCUCUUUUGUCAGGGAGCAAAGGCGUCCACGUGUGGACGAAAGGAGAGUACCUGAAGAAAAAGCAUCGGCUAACUCCGUGCCAGCAGCCGCGGUAAUACGGAGGAUGCGAGCGUUAUCCGGAUUUAUUGGGUUUAAAGGGUGCGUAGGCGGAGUGUCAAGUCAGCGGUAAAAUUUCGGGGCUCAACCCCGUCGUGCCGUUGAAACUGACGCCCUUGAGUGAGUGAGAAGUAAGCGGAAUGCGUGGUGUAGCGGUGAAAUGCAUAGAUAUCACGCAGAACGCCGAUUGCGAAGGCAGCUUGCCGGCGCUCAACUGACGCUGAGGCACGAAAGUGCGGGUAUCGAACAGG